rnacentral:lncRNA from 1 species
CUCUGCAAGCCUUUGAGCCAGUUCCGGAGGCAGAUUCAGGCCUUCUUUCUUACACACACUGGACAACACGUGACAGAUAUCUUCAAUGCUGGGAGCAGGCACUCGUACACUCAGGCAUCUGCUUUGAAUAGGUCCUAUAAUUUUUGAUAUAGAGUUGCAGCACAGGAUAAGUCUGCAGGUUGCCAUGUAUUUCUCCAUCGUUCUUCGCAAAGCAUGCUGGGCAUCUUUAGUGAGUUUGUCGACUUCUGUUAACAGCACCACUUUAAAGUCUCGUUGAGUACUUGUUUCAAGUUGCUGGGAUUGUGCUACUGUCUUCAAGAGUUCCUGAAUCACUACACGGUCAUUAUUUCCAGCAUCACUUGGGUUAACUUCAAGGUGGUAAUUACUCGCAAUCGUGCUAAUUUCAAUUUUCUUUUUAGAAGGUGCCGUUAUACUCUGAUGCUCAAUCCUCAGUUUCUCCACACCUGCACCAUAUAAUUCUCUUAACAAACACAUUAUCCUUGUCUUCUUUCCAGCUCCUGAUGGCCCAUACACCAGCAGAUGAGGGAAGUCACCACACUGAACCAGGCUGCGGAGCUGCGCCGCCUGCUCGCGGUGGAAAUCCAGGCGGCUGAGGGCGCUGGGCCUAUACUUGUCCACCCACAGGCUCAUGGCGGUUGAAAAGCGCGCCGUUCCACAGCUCCGCACAGCCCCGGC